rnacentral:rRNA from 1 species
UACAGAGGGUGCAAGCGUUAAUCGGAAUUACUGGGCGUAAAGCGUGCGUAGACGGUUAUGUAAGUCGGGUGUGAAAGCCCCGGGCUCAACCUGGGAAUGGCAUUGGAUACUGGCAGGCUAGAGUGCGGUAGAGGGUGGUGGAAUUCCCGGUGUAGCAGUGAAAUGCGUAGAGAUCGGGAGGAACAUCUGUGGCGAAGGCGGCCACCUGGACCAGCACUGACACUGAGGCACGAAAGCGUGGGGAGCAAACAGG